rnacentral:rRNA from 1 species
GAUGAACGCUAGCGAUAGGCUUAACACAUGCAAGUCGAGGGGCAGCAUGUUCUAGCUUGCUUAGGCUGAUGGCGACCGGCGCACGGGUGCGUAACGCGUUUGCAACCUGCCUCACAGAGGGGGAUAAACCGUUGAAAGACGGACUAAUACCGCGUACACCCUAUGUUGGGCAUUCAAAGUAGAGGAAAUGAAAUUUGCCUUGAGAUAGGAAUGCGUCCCAUUAGCUAGUUGGUGAGGUAACGGCUCACCAAGGCGACGAUGGGUAGGGGAACUGAGAGGUUGAACCCCCACACUGGUACUGAGACACGGACCAGACUCCUACGGGAGGCAGCAGUGAGGAAUAUUGGUCAAUGGGCGAGAGCCUGAACCAGCCAAGUCGCGUGAAGGAUGACUGUCUUAUGGAUUGUAAACUUCUUUUAUACGGGAAUAACAAGAGUCACGUGUGGCUCCCUGCAUGUACCGUAUGAAUAAGCAUCGGCUAACUCCGUG